AAAGAGCCUGAGCCUGAAUUACCCUACCUAGAAGCUUUUCCUAUUGGUGAAGAUAUAUGGGAUGAAGUGUGGUCUUUCUCUGGGGGUACGGUGACUCCGGAUGAAGCUUUAAAACCAACUGCACAAGACCUUGUUAAACAUCAGGAGGAGACGACCGUUCCGGGGAAAAUAAAUGACAUUCCGAAGAGAAGUGAUGGAGAACGUCUGUCUCAGCCUCUGGAGGAAUUCUACAUCUCUCUGAUUAAGUCGAGAAACGUGUCAGAGAAAUCUGCGGCUCUACGGUCUCCUCCGAGGAAGUGUGAGGAGUCUGAGAAGACUGUACAACCUGCGCCAGAUACUAAGGAUCCCUUCCUGCCUUUAACUCCAGAAAAAGAGAAUCUGCAAACGCAGGAUGAUAAUCUUCUGUUUUGUGAAUCCUCGAGUCUUAACCAAACAGCGGCAGCAUGUAACUCGCUAACAGGAUUCCAGAAAUUUCAGAUCCCAAGGAGAUCAGCAACAGUGGCCCUUGGACCGGCCGCGCGGUUAGCUGCCACGCCUGGAAGUCUCUCACACUGGGGAUACUGAGCUUAGGAGAUAAUUCACAAUGGAAACAUAUGCGUCUGAAUGUAAUAAUGUGUUUCCAGAAUGUUUUUUUUAAUAAUUUUUUCCUGAAUAAUUUUUUUGUUAGAGGUUUGGUUGUAUAUCUGUGAAGACAUUGGACCUGAGAUGUGAUAAGUCUGUAGUAGAGGUUGGUUGGUCUUCAAACGCUAUGGAGCAGAUUCUGCACAACUACAAGUUGUCAUAUUCCUGGGAAGAUAAUACUGCUAUAUAAUAGCUUGGGAAGAUAAUACUGCUAUAGCUUGGGAACAUAAUACUGCUAUAUUGUAGCUUGGGAAGAUAAUACUGCUAUAUAAUAGCUUGGGUAGAUAAUACUGCUAUAGCUUGGGAACAUAAUACUGCUAUAUUGUAGCUUGGGAAGAUAAUACUGCUAUAUAGUAGCUUGGGAAAAUAAGACUGCUAUAGCUUGGGAAAAUAAUACUGCUAUAUUGUAGCUUGGGAAAAUAAUACUGCUAUAGCUUGGGAAGAUAAUACUGAUAUUUUGUAGCUUAGAAAGAUAAUACUGUUAUAUAGUAGAUUAGGAAGAUAAUACUUCUAUAUUGUAGCUUGGGAAGAUAAUACUGAUAUUUUGUAGCUUAGGAAGAUAAUACUGCUAUAUAGUAGAUUAGGAAGAUAAUACUGCUAUAUUGUAGCUUGGGAAGAUAAUACUGCUAUUUUGUAGCUUGUGAAGAUAAUACUGCUAUAUUGUAGCUUGGGAAGAUAAUACUGCUAUAUUGUAACUUGAGAAGAUAAUACUGCUAUAUUGUAGCUUGUGAAGAUAAUACUGCUAUAUUGUAGCUUGUGAAGAUAAUACUGCUAUAUUGUAGCUUGUGAAGAUAAUACUGCUAUA